UCUUAUCCAGAGUGGUGGAGGGACUGGCCCUAUGAAACCCGGCAACCAAUAUUUUGAGGCGAAACACGCUUUAAAAUAGAACGGUGCUAAUUCCAGCAGUUAUUUUUUAACUGAUAGAUAAGG
rnacentral:ncRNA from 1 species